CCCAGCAGCUGCUUCCUCCCAGGGCUCCCCCAAGGGGCAAAGCAAAGCCCCCUCCUCAGUGUGCAGUGAGAGCUGAGCUCCAGCCCAGGGCUCAGGGAGGGGCUGGGCAGUCCCUGGAUGGAAACGCGUUUGCAUGAGCAGCCCCUCCUCUGCAGAGGGUGGGGACAAAAGGAGGCCUGGGCAGCCCAGCCCCACUGUGGGGACCAGGGGCUGUGUGCACCAUGGCCUGGGCUCCUGUCCUGCUCGUGAUCCUCUCUCACUGCACAGGGUCCCUGUCCCAGCCUGUGCUGACCCAGCCGCCCUCUGCAUCUGCCUCCCCGGGAGCCUCGGCCAAGCUCACCUGCACCCUGAGCAGUGCGCACAGUGACUACACCAUUGCGUGGCUUCAGCAGCAGCCAGGGAAGGCGCCCCGGUACUUGAUGGAUAUUUACAGUGAUGGAAGCCAGAGCAAGGGGGACGGGGUCCCCGAUCGCUUCUCGGGCUCCAGCUCCGGGGCUGACCGCUACUUAACCAUCUCCAACGUCCAGCCUGAGGACGAGGCUGACUAUCACUGUCACACCUGGGACGGUGCUGUUAAUCACAAAGGCCUGAUGCCCGUCACCUGGCUCAUCGUCAUGGGGUCAAUGAGAUAA